rnacentral:rRNA from 1 species
ACAUGCAGUCGAGCGGACCGACGGGAGCUUGCUCCCUUAGGUCAGCGGCGGACGGGUGAGUAACACGUGGGUAACCUGCCUGUAAGACUGGGAUAACUCCGGGAAACCGGGGCUAAUACCGGAUGCUUGAUUGAACCGCAUGGUUCAAUCAUAAAAGGUGGCUUUUAGCUACCACUUACAGAUGGACCCGCGGCGCAUUAGCUAGUUGGUGAGGUAACGGCUCACCAAGGCGACGAUGCGUAGCCAACCUGAGAGGGUGAUCGGCCACACUGGGACUGAGACACGGCCCAGACUCCUACGGGAGGCAGCAGUAGGGAAUCUUCCGCAAUGGACGAAAGUCUGACGGAGCAACGCCGCGUGAGUGAUGAAGGUUUUCGGAUCGUAAAACUCUGUUGUUAGGGAAGAACAAGUACCGUUCGAAUAGGGCGGUACCUUGACGGUACCUAACCAGAAAGCCACGGCUAACUACGUGCCAGCAGCCGCGGUAAUACGUAGGUGGCAAGCGUUGUCCGGGAUUAUUGGGCCGUAAAGCGCGCGCAGGCGGUUUCUUAAGUCUGAUGUGAAAGCCCCCGGCUCAACCGGGGAGGGUCAUUGGAAACUGGGGAACUUGAGUGCAGAAGAGGAGAGUGGAAUUCCACGUGUAGCGGUGAAAUGCGUAGAGAUGUGGAGGAACACCAGUGGCGAAGGCGACUCUCUGGUCUGUAACUGACGCUGAGG